rnacentral:rRNA from 1 species
GACGAACGCUGGCGGCGUGCUUAACACAUGCAACUCGAACGGAAAGGCCCUGCUUUUGUGGGGUGCUCGAGUGGCGAACGGGUGAGUAACACGUGAGUAACCUGCCCUUGACUUUGGGAUAACUUCAGGAAACUGGGGCUAAUACCGGAUAGGAGCUCCUGCUGCAUGGUGGGGGUUGGAAAGUUUCGGCGGUUGGGGAUGGACUCGCGGCUUAUCAGCUUGUUGGUGGGGUAGUGGCUUACCAAGGCUUUGACGGGUAGCCGGCCUGAGAGGGUGACCGGCCACAUUGGGACUGAGAUACGGCCCAGACUACUACGGGAGGCAGCAGUGGGGAAUAUUGAAAAAUGGGCGGAAGCCUGAUGCAGCAACGCCGCGUGCGGGAUGACGGCCUUCGGGUUGUAAACCGCUUUCGCCUGUGACGAAGCGUGAGUGACGGUAAUGGGUAAAGAAGCACCGGCUAACUAAGUG